rnacentral:rRNA from 1 species
UACGUAGGGACCAAGCGUUGUUCGGAUUUACUGGGCGUAAAGGGCGCGUAGGCGGCGUGGUAAGUCACUUGUGAAAUCUCUGAGCUUAACUCAGAACGGCCAAGUGAUACUGCUGUGCUAGAGUGCAGAAGGGGCAAUCGGAAUUCUUGGUGUAGCGGUGAAAUGCGUAGAUAUCGGGAAGAACAUCGGUGGCGAAAGCGCUCUACUGGACCGCAACUGACACUCAGGGACGAAAGCUAGGGGAGCGAAUGGG